rnacentral:rRNA from 1 species
GAUGAACGCUGGCGGCGUGCCUAAUACAUGCAAGUCGAGCGAACAGACGAGGAGCUUGCUCCUCUGACGUUAGCGGCGGACGGGUGAGUAACACGUGGAUAACCUACCUAUAAGACUGGGAUAACUUCGGGAAACCGGAGCUAAUACCGGAUAAUAUAUUGAACCGCAUGGUUCAAUAGUGAAAGACGGUUUUGCUGUCACUUAUAGAUGGAUCCGCGCCGCAUUAGCUAGUUGGUAAGGUAACGGCUUACCAAGGCGACGAUGCGUAGCCGACCUGAGAGGGUGAUCGGCCACACUGGAACUGAGACACGGUCCAGACUCCUGCGGGAGGCAGCAGUAGGGAAUCUUACGCAAUGGGCGAAAGCCUGACGGAGCAACGCCGCGUGAGUGAUGAAGGUCUUCGGAUCGUAAAACUCUGUUAUUAGGGAAGAACAAAUGUGUAAGUAACUAUGCACGUCUUGACGGUACCUAAUCAGAAAGCCACGGCUAACUACGUG